UCCCAAGAUGGAAGUUGUGGUUUGCA
rnacentral:piRNA from 1 species